GACGUAGGGUCCGAGCGUUGUCCGGAGUUACUGGGCGUAAAGGGCGCGUAGGCGGUUAUCUGCGUCACACGUGAAAGCCCCUGGCUCAACCAGGGAGGGUCGUGGUGAAACGGGGUAACUGGAGGCAGAGAGAGGCUGGUGGAAUUCCCGGAGUAGUGGUGAAAUGCGCAGAUAUCAGGAAGAACACCCGUGGCGAAGGCGGCUCUCUGGGACGGUACUGACGCUGAGACGCGAAAGCGUGGGGAGCGAACAGG
rnacentral:rRNA from 1 species